rnacentral:RNase_MRP_RNA from 12 species
CGAGUUUUCCAUGCUUGUCUCUCGGGGUCAGAUACGUGCUCCUGGUAGCACACAUGAAAUACCCUGGGGAAAGUCCCCGGGCCGAAGAUAGAAAGUAUCGAGGCGUAAAAAGUACGUUGGUUCGUAUUCGCCUAUAUUCCGGGAAAAUUGCCACUGCACACUAAUGAUGAGAGCGCUUGCUCGAAUUAGUGCUUGGUGUUUUCGGAAAUGUGCCAGAGUUAUAAGAUAUAGACACAUCUGCUUGAUUACGCGCCUUCAUAAAGGAAGGUUGUUAAGUCGUGUCAUGCACAGAAUGGGGCUUACACUGGGAAAUUC